rnacentral:tRNA from 1 species
AUGCAAACAUAGUUUAACCCAAACAUUAGAUUGUGAUUCUAAAAAUAGGAGUUUAACCCUCCUUGUUCGCC